rnacentral:rRNA from 1 species
AGGCUUUUGAUCCUGGCUCAGGAUGAACGCUGGCGGCGUGCCUAACACAUGCAAGUCGAGCGAUUUUCUUCGGAGAAGAGCGGCGGACGGGUGAGUAACGCGUGGGUAACCUGCCCUGUACACACGGAUAACAUACCGAAAGGUAUGCUAAUACGGGAUAACAUAUUUUGAUGGCAUCAUCGAAAUAUCAAAGCUCUGGCGGUACAGGAUGGACCCGCGUCUGAUUAGCUAGUUGGUGAGGUAAUGGCUCACCAAGGCGACGAUCAGUAGCCGACCUGAGAGGGUGAUCGGCCACAUUGGAACUGAGACACGGUCCAAACUCCUACGGGAGGCAGCAGUGGGGAAUAUUGCACAAUGGGCGAAAGCCUGAUGCAGCAACGCCGCGUGAGUGAUGAAGGCCUUCGGGUCGUAAAGCUCUGUCCUCAAGGAAGAUAAUGACGGUACUUGAGGAGGAAGCCCCCUUGUCCCGC